UACGUAGGGUGCAAGCGUUAUCCGGAAUUAUUGGGCGUAAAGAGCUCGUAGGCGGUUUGUCACGUCUGCUGUGAAAACUGGAGGCUCAACCUCCAGCCUGCAGUGGGUACGGGCAGACUAGAGUGCGGUAGGGGAGAUUGGAAUUCCUGGUGUAGCGGUGGAAUGCGCAGAUAUCAGGAGGAACACCGAUGGCGAAGGCAGAUCUCUGGGCAGAGACUGACGCUGAUGCGCGACAGCGUGGGGAGCAAACAGG
rnacentral:rRNA from 1 species